rnacentral:tRNA from 1 species
AGGUGUGUGGUCCAAGGGAUGGGCAGCGGUCUUCUAAAUCGCUUUAUGUUGGUUCGAAUCCAAUCACACCUA